GACGAACGCUGGCGGCGUGCUUAACACAUGCAAGUCGAACGGAAAGGCCCUGCUUUUGUGGGGUGCUCGAGUGGCGAACGGGUGAGUAACACGUGAGUAACCUGCCCUUGACUUUGGGAUAACUUCAGGAAACUGGGGCUAAUACCGGAUAGGAGCUCCUGCUGCAUGGUGGGGGUUGGAAAGUUUCGGCGGUUGGGGAUGGACUCGCGGCUUAUCAGCUUGUUGGUGGGGUAGUGGCUUACCAAGGCUUUGACGGGUAGCCGGCCUGAGAGGGUGACCGGCCACAUUGGGACGGGGAUGCGGCCCAGACUCCUACGGGAGGCAGCAGUGGGGAAUAGUGCACAAUGGGCGGAAGCCUGAUGCAGCAACGCCGCGUGCGGGAUGACGGCCUUCGGGUUGUAAACCGCUUUCGCCUGUGACGAAGCGUGAGUGACGGUAAUGGGUAAAGAAGCACCGGCUAACUACGUG
rnacentral:rRNA from 1 species